rnacentral:rRNA from 1 species
UCUAAUUGACCUUGUUAGUGUUUAUUUUUAGAGUCAAAGAUUAAGCCAUGCAUGUUUAAAGCAAUCUACUUUAUGUAGUGACCUUGCGUACAGCUCCAUUAUCAGUUAUAAUUUCUUUGAAGAUGAAUUUCUAUAUGGAUAUCGAUAGAAACGCUAUCUCUAAUACAUGCUACAAUAUAUCUGUUAAAGGAUAUAGAAUUUAUUAGAUAUGAAUUAACUACAUUUCGAUGUUUAGGUGAUUCCUAGUAACUAUUCGGAUCUUGUUUUACAAGACAGUUCAUUCAAAUUUCUGUUGUAUUAGCUGUGAAGGUAGGGUCUUGGCCUACCUUGGCAUUGAUGCACACGAGAAGCUAGUGCUUGGUUUCGGAGAAAGAGCAUGAGAAACGGCUAUUAUCACCAAGGUGUAGCAGCAGGCGCGAAAAUUAUCCACUCUUGACCCAAGGAGAUAGUGACCACUUAUACUAAUGCUUUCCGGUUCGCUGGAUGGUAAUUAGAAUGAGACCAAUGUAAAUAAUUUCAACGAAAGCAAAUCUAGGGCAAGUCAGGUGCCAGCAGCCGCGGUAAUUCCUGCUAGAUGAAGAAUGAAUAUCGUUAUUGCAUUUAAAACGCUCGUAGUUGGAGUUGUUGGGAUGUAUCUAUUGCAUAAAUUUAUUUAUAAUAUAUAUACANNAUAGUUGGAGUUGUUGGGAUGUGUGCGUUGCGUAAAUUUAUUUACAAUACGUUCACCCCCAAUGGAUUGAUAGUAAUAUCAAUCUUACCUUGAGUAAUGGAACACGCUUGAAGUGGGUUCUUUCUAUGCCUUUAUCAUACAGCAUGGAAUAAACAUAACGGACUUUGGUUUCUGUUAUGGUUGGUUCAAUACCAAGUCAUGAUUGAUAAGGAAAGUUGGGGGGUGUUUCUAUUUCGACUUGAGGGGUGAAAUCUUUGGACAGUCGAAGGAGAAUCUGCAGCAAAAGCUUCCACCAAUAAUUUACCUUUUAAUCAAGAGCGAUAGUUGAGGGAUCGAAGAUGAUUAGAAACCAUUGUAGUCUCAACCAUAAACGAUGUCAACUAGGGGGUAGUAUAUAUCGUUUUAUUAGGUAUAUAUUAUGACCUUGUGAGAAAUCAAAGUCUUUGGACUAUGUGGAAAUUAUGAAAGCAAUUUUGAAAUUUAAAAGGAUUGACGGAAGUGGCACCACCAGGAGUGGAGCUUGCGGCUUAAUUUGACUCAACGCGGGAAAUCGAUACCAGGGCAGAACAUAGUGAGGAAAGACAGAUUGCAGAUCUUUCUUGAUUCUGUGCUUUUGUAUGUAGUGCAUGGCCUCCGGGAAGUGAGUGGGUUGACUUUUCUGAUUAAUUUCGAUAACUAGCGAGACCUCGAUAUGGUUAACUAUUAUAAAUUAUUUCGAUAAUAUUAUAAUUCUUACAUAGACAAACGGUGUUGUAGCCGUAGGAAGUGCGAGGCGAUGGAAGGUCCGUGAUGCUCUCAGAUGUUCUGGGCCGCACGCGCGCUACACUGAUAUAUACAGACAGUUAAAUUGUUAUAUUCGUAUAACAUUCCAUUAUCGUGAGGUAUUGGUAAUCUAUGAAAUUAUUAUCGUGCUGGGGAUAGACGUUUGCAAUUAUAUGUCUUGAACGAGGAAUUCCUAGUAAUUACGCGUCACUAUCACGUGAUGAUUAUGUCCCUGCCCUUUGUACACACCGCCCGUCGCUGAUACCGAUUGAAUGGUCUAGUGAGGUGUGGGGAGUGAAUUUACAUUCAUGAACCACCCCGAACUAUGUCAUUUAGAGGAAUCAUAAGUCGUAACAAGGCAAGAGUAGAGGAAUCUGCCCUUG